AGCCAAUGAUGAUUGUAUUGAUGUUUGCGUAAGAAUGAUAAAUCAUGAUUACACAAAAUACUGCCUUCCUUCUGAGGCG